rnacentral:rRNA from 1 species
CCCUUAGAUGUUCUGGGCUGCACGCGCGCUACACUGAAGCGUUCAACGAGUAUUCACCUUGCCCGGGAGGGUUGGGUAAUCUUUUGAAAACGCUUCGUGAUGGGGAUAGAUUAUUGCAAUUAUUAAUCUUCAACGAGGAAUUCCUAGUAAGCGCGAGUCAUCAGCUCGUGCUGAUUACGUCCCUGCCCUUUGUACACACCGCCCGUCGCUCCUACCGAUUGAAUGGUCCGGUGAAGCGUUUGGACUAUGGUUUUCUGAUGGUCCGCCGUUGGAUUACCGUGGGAAGUUCGUUAAACCUUAUCAUUUAGAGGAAGGAGAAGUCGUAACA